rnacentral:rRNA from 1 species
AUGCACGCUGGCGGCGUGCCUAAUACAUGCAAGUCGAGCGAACAGAUGAGGAGCUUGCUCCUCUGACGUUAGCGGCGGACGGGUGAGUAACACGUGGAUAACCUACCUAUAAGACUGGGAUAACUUCGGGAAACCGGAGCUAAUACCGGAUAAUAUAUUGAACCGCAUGGUUCAAUAGUGAAAGACGGUUUUGCUGUCACUUAUAGAUGGAUCCGCGCCGCAUUAGCUAGUUGGUAAGGUAACGGCUUACCAAGGCAACGAUGCGUAGCCGACCUGAGAGGGGGCACGCCCACCCUGGACAUGAGACCGGGCCCAGCCCCCGAGGGGGGGAAGGAAGGGGGAUUCUUCCGCAAGGGGGGAAAGCCGGAGGGAGCCGCCCCGGGUGAGUGAUGAAGUUUUUCGGAUCGUAAACCGUUUUUAUUGGGGAAAAAAAAAUGUGAAAGGAAAGAUCCGCGUCUUGAGGGUCCCAAAACAGAAAGCCACGACUAACUACGC